rnacentral:lncRNA from 1 species
CUAUCUUCUCACAAUGGCUGUCAGUGUGUUCAUUUUCAAAACCUAAACUAGCUAAGUCUUAACAGAUGAAAACAAAAAAAAAAAUUAACUGAGAAGAAAGGCACCCACAGCUUCAAAAUCCAAAGAAGAAAGUAGACCCUUUUGUUUUAGAUCAAGGGAAACCAAAAAACAAAAGCGGUGAGACAGAAUAAUCCCUGAAGGAAAACAGUGACCUUCUCCAGGUUUAGGAAGAUGGUCAAACCCGCAUGCCCCUCCAUGCUUCUAGGAAAACGUACUACACAUAUUCUUCAGGCAGAUGCGAACGCUCCGAAGGGGCGCCCCUCUGCAGCUGGCUGACCAGCCCUCCUCUGCUCUGUCGUUUUCAUCCAAACAUUUAGAUCUGUGGCCGGGUAGAUAUUAGUGGCUGGGUCAAAAAGACAGUUCUGGUGUGAAAUAUUUAUACUUAAUUGGCCUCUGUGUCUGUCUGUGUAGUUUUGCCAAGCAUUUUAAUAGUUUUCCUUGAGUAUUCUUUAUUCUUUUUUGGAAAGAAUGCUAUUCAGGGUAAGAAUGGGGGGGGGAGUAGGGGACACAGCACAAAAGGUUGUCUCCUCUGAAGGCUUUGGGCACUCUUCCCAAAACAGAUGCAGAAGGCAACACUGGCCUCUGCCUUGAAAAUAAUGUGGGAUAUUUAUCUUGAAGUUCACCAUUGUUAUUCUUUGCUUCUUAGCCUUUCUGAUUUGAAUUCCAGUUUAGUCUUGAUUUUGUAGAAUAAUCAAAGUAAUGAAUUGGAGGAAAAUUAUAAUUUCUAGUAUACAAUAGGAUGAGAUAGAGUGUAACUUUUCAUUUGCAAUUUAAUUUUUAUUGUAUCUUAUUUAUUUACUUAUUUAUUUGUAGAGACGGUCUUGCUCUGUUGCCCAGGCUGGGGUGCAAGUGGCACAAUCAUAGCUCACUGCACCCUUGACCUCCUGGGCUCAAUCAAUCCCCCUGCCUCAACCUCCUGAGUAGCCAGGACUGGAGGCUCAUACUACCAUGCCCAGCAAAGACAGGGUCUUGCUCUGUUGCCCAAGGUGGUCUCAAACUCCUGGCCUCAAACAGUCCUCCUACCUUGGCCUCUCAGAGUGUUGGGAUUACAGGCGUGAACCACUGCACUUGGUCUGCAAUUUAACUUUUAAAUAAGGCAUUUAUUUGAAUAAUUCUUAUCCAGUAUUUUAAAAAUAUAUUUUUAUCAUUAAAUGGUAGUAUAUACAUUUGUCAUUAAAAAGUACAAAGUAUUAAAAAAUAUAAAGGGAACAAAAAUCACCCACAAUUCUACCAUGCUGAAAAAAAGAUUAUUAAGUGUAUCCUUUUCCAAUGUUUUCUAUACAUUUUAAUUUCUCUUAAAAAUUUGAAUUUUAUUAUAUAUAUAUAUAAUAUUUCUUCACCUUGUUAUUGUGAAAAUUAUAUAGCAAGUGUUUCUCUGUUAUUGCCAUUCUUGUAAACAUAGUUUUUAACAAUCUUCAUGUUAUUCCAAACUAUAGAUGGUCACAAUUUAUUGGGAGAGUCCGUUAUUUAAUUUUUUUCCUUUUGGUGUAUUAACAAAACCGUCAUGUGCAUUCUGUAGUUAUAUCUUUGUCUGAAUCUUUGAUUAUGUCUCUACCACACUUUCCUAGAAGAGAAAUUAAAAAAACAAAGGAUCAGCACAAUUUUAAGGUUCUCAUUAAAUAUUUUAAUUUUUUUUUCCAAAAACAAACUCCCAAGUUACACUGCCACAAGUUGUGGAUGGGAGGGCUGGAUUUCCUGAACCCUUCCCAGCAUUGCUCGAGUUUCUUGGUUCCUCCGCUAGAGAAGAGGAGCCCCAGAGCUCUGUAGGCUCCAGAAAAGUGCCCAAAUCAUAAGCAGACAUCUCAUUGGAUUUACUGAGCACACCCAGGUAUCCACCACCCAAGGGAAGCAACGAAGGUGACCCCACCCAGCAUUUACCCUGUGUCCCUAUCUUGGACAUUGAUUCUGCUCCAGAGGUCACAAUCUCAUGCCGCCAAUUGCCAUAGAUUCGUUUUGCUUGGUCUUAAACUUUAUAUAAAUGGUAAGUUGCAAAAAGUGGAAACUUUCGUUACUGGAUUCUUUUGUUGGCCUUAUGCUUGUAAGAUGCGUCCACAAUGUUAAGAUACAUUUCUUGCAAUAAUUUGUAGAAUUUACAUCUUUACAAUGUUCAACAUUCCCAUUCAGAAUCAUGAUAUAGAUCUUCAUUUAAUCAAAUCUGUGCAUGUGUUAGAAAAUUCAAAGAGUGUAUUUUUAUAGUAUUGUAACUUGGUAAUUUAUGGCUUUAGUUGCUAUUGAGAGUAAAUUUUCCAGCAUAUUUUUAAACUGGUUCUUGCUGAUAAAAUACCCGGUGAUUAAAAUAUAUGUAUAUAGUUGUCGUUUUACAUAUAAAAUAUUUUAAUCAGCUUGUCUUUGAUUACUGGUAAAGUGAGCACAUUUCCAUGUGUUUAUUGGCCACAUUAAUUUUUACCUUUUAAUUGCUGCUACUGCUGCUUCUGCUUCUUCUUCUUGUUCUUCCUAGUUAUUCUUGUUAAUUUUAACAAUUCUUUAUAUUUUAAGGAUAUCUUUGGAAUAUGUUGUGAAAGUAUUUUCCCAGUUUAUCUUUUUUUCUUAACUUGUUGCUAUUUUUUGACGUAUUUUAAAAUAUGUGCAGAGGCAAAUCAAUCAUUUGUUUAUUUUGUGAUACCUUCUUUGCAUUUAUUUUUAGAACACUUUUUAUUAAAUGACUUAUCUUCCCUUCCUUUUUUUGAGGUAAUGUCUCUAUUGUAUACUAUAUAUAUUUGUAUCUAUUUCUGGACUUUAUAUUUUAUUCCAUUGAUAUGGCUAGGUAUAGAAUUGUACAAUUUAAAUUAUUAUAGCUCUAUAAAGCAUUUUGAUUUUUUUCAACGUGAGUCAUUUUUCCUUAUUCUGCUUUUCCAAACAAUUUUGGUUGUUCUCAUUUUUUCUUGCAAAUAAAAUAUAUGUAUCAUUUCAC